rnacentral:hammerhead_ribozyme from 1 species
AUCCAACUGACAAGUCCCAAAUAGGACGAAGUGACGUGCGUCUUGGAU